GCCUGGUUAGCUCAGUCGGUGGAGCAUAAGUCUCUGGAGUUGCUCAAACUGAGAGGUAGGUGACAAUAAAUGAAAAGGUUGCAUGUCAGCCUGGGUCGUGGGUUCGAGCCCCAAGUUGGGCG